GGUUUGGAACCCUGUUCCCGGUGUAGUGCUCUACACUACACAGGGUGUGGUUUGGAACCCUGUUCCCGGUGUAGUGCUCUACACUACACAGGGUGUGGUUUGGAACCCUGUUCCCGGUGUAGUGCUCUACACUACACAGCCUCUGUUUAUUUAAGUGGUACUUCUGUUCUGUUGGACAACAGGCUGUAUUUUGAUGUGUGUUUUGGCUGUUGUGUGUUUCUUCCAUUGGGAGGUGCAGUUUGAGACGUCUGCCUGUCGAACAGGGGUUCGACCUUCCUCUGUGGAAGCUGGUAUGGGUGCAGGCUUUAGCUCCCGCCCUGCAGUAAAACCUGUUUCAACUAAUCAUUUUUUAACGUUGAUUUAAUUAUAGUUAAGUCAAAUUCUAGUUAUCAAUAAAGAACAGCUGAUUCAACUGAUCCAAUUAGUCUUGGUCAUCAAUAAAGACUUUAUUAGUGGAGUCUGAUGUGUUACACCCACCGUGGUUCUGACAGGUUCUGGCCCCUGGAGCAGAGAACAGACACCCACCGUGGCCCGGACAGGUUCUGACCCCUGGAGCAGAGAACAGACACCCACCGUGGCCCUGACAGGUUCUGACCCCUGGAGCAGAGAACAGAGACCCACCGUGGCCCUGACAGGUUCUGACCCCUGGAGCAGAGAACAGACACCCACCGUGGCCCUGACAGGUUCUGACCCCUGGACCAGAGAACAGACAGGUUCUGACCCCUGGACCAGAGAACAGACACCCACCGUGGCCCUGACAGGUUCUGACCCCUGGACCAGAGAACAGACACCCCCAGUGAAAGCAGCAUCUAUGUGGGGGAAGUGAUCAGAACCCUGGUCAGGAUAGUGAACGGUGGACCAGUCAAUCUUCAUUUCAUUUGCAUCUCCAUAUACCUUCUCUUCUCGUCAAUAGAGAUGAUUCAUAUGUUGAAAUGUAUAUCAAGAUAUUGUUUAUUUCACUUUUCUUUCAUCCUGGUUCCAUCAAUCGUCCAAUCAUCAAGCCCUUUUGAUAAGUUGAUUGAGGUGUGUUAGGCUGGCACAAAACCCUGCACACCCUGUGUGUUUCCAGGACUGGGAUUGAAGGACACUGAUGUGUUUAACUUUGUGUUUGUCAGAAUCAGACUGGGGAUGAAUUUUAAUUUAGUUUCUCAGAUUUUUACGAAGUGCUUUUUUUACUGAGCGGCUGAUGUUUUGAAUUUAGUCUGUGUUUUUGGUUUUACUGUGUUGUUGUUAUUGACAUUAUUUAACAGAUCACGAGUUUGUAAAUAUUGAUGAAAGACUGAGGAUGAUGUUAUUAUCGUUGGUGGUAAUAUAAGCAGUGUAUAGCACCUUCAUAAGCAGUGUAUAGCACCUUCAUAAGCAGUGUAUAGCACCUUCAUAAGCAGUGUAUAGCACCUUCAUAAGCAGUGUAUAGCACCUUCAUAAGCAGUGUAUAGCACCUUCAUAAGCAGUGCAUGAGGGCUUCAUAGGUAAAAGCAUCAUCUUGAGUCUUGUCCAAUAUGACAUGUACUGACCCAAUCACAACAACCCCACGCCCUUCCAGCAAGUAUUUGAAACGAUCCGACCCAUACAGACCCGUUAAUCUGGGCUUGGGCUUUGGAUCCUCCACAGGGAUGACGUAGGCCCUUAAGUAUUGCUUAUGAAGGGGACAAGUAGCCUCUAAGUAGGUUUCCUGCUCUAACUCUAAAGAUCUGACCAUACAUGGACUGUACAUCAGUGGAGUUGUUGCUAAUAGCAACAUGUCAAAAGUAUACCUAAUUUACAUCCCAAAUGGUACCCUAUCCCCUAUAUAGUGCCCUUCAUUUGACCAGAGCCCUAUGGGUUGAGCCCUAUAAAGUACACUUCAUUUGACCAGAGCCCUAUAUAGUACACUUCAUUUGACCAGAGCCCUAUGGGUUGAACCCUAUAUAGUACACUUCAUUUGACCAGGGCCCUAUGGGUUGAGCCCUAUAUAGUACACUUCAUUUGACCAGGGCCCUAUGGGUUGAACCCUAUAUAGUACACUUAAUUUGACCAGAGCCCUAUAUAGUGCACUUCAUUUGACCAGAGUCCUAUGGGUUGAGCCCUAUAUAGUGCACUUCAUUUGACCAGAGCCCUAUAUAGUACACUUCAUUUGACCAGAGCCCUAUAUAGUGCACUUCAUUUGACCAGAGCCCUAUGGGUUGAGCCCUAUAUAGUACACUUCAUUUGACCAGAGCCCUAUAUAGUACACUUCAUUUGACCAGAGCCCUAUAUAGUGCACAUCAUUUGACCAGAGCCCUAUGGGUUGAGCCCUAUAUAGUACACUUCAUUUGACCAGAGCCCUAUGGGUUGAACCCUAUAUAGUGCACUUCAUUUGACCAGAGCCCUAUAUAGUGCACUUCAUUUGACCAGAGCCCUAUGGGUUGAGCCCUAUAUAGUGCACUUCAUUUGACCAGAACCCUAUAUAGUGCACUUCAUUUGACCAGAACCCUAUGGGUUGAGCCCUAUAUAGUGCACUUCAUUUGACCAGAGCCCUAUAUAGUGCACUUCAUUUGACCAGAGCCCUAUAUAGUACACUUCAUUUGAUCAGAGCCCUAUGGGUUGAACCAUAUAUAGUACACUUCAUUUGACCAGAGCCCUAUGGGUUGAACCAUAUAUAGUACACUUCAUUUGACCAGAGCCCUAUGGGUUGAACCCUAUAUAGUGCACUUCAUUUGACCAGAGCCCUAUAUAGUGCACUUCAUUUGACCAGAGCCCUAUGGGUUGAACCCUAUAUUGUAAACUUCAUUUGACCAGAGCCCUAUGGGUUGAACCCUAUCCCUUAAGUAGUGCACUAUACAGGGGAAAGGAUGCCAUUUGUGACACAGAGGGAGGAUUUGAAUGGAUCUGUUCCAGGGUUUGUUGUGUGUAGUGUUUUAAACUAAAACCUGCUAACCAACCAUGUAAUGUCUAACAGUAUGAUGGAGGUCACAUGGUUAAAUAAAGCGGAUGUUUGGAACAUGUGUAGGAGAGAC
ensembl:lncRNA